AGGGAGGUUGUGGAGGAUUUUGGUUUUGGGAGCACAUGCUAAUUAUUUUCGGAGAAGAUUUGGGCUAGCGAGAUGCUUGACUUUGCUGGGGUGUUUGCGUCAAAGAGUUCCAAGGAGGGGGUGAGGUACAGGGACGAAAGCGAUUUGCAUCUCUGCUCGCUGGCGAUGGUGAAGGCUUCUUCUCUUCCUACGGCUGGCAAAGACAUCAGAGGUACGGGGUUUCGAUCUGCGUCGCCGACGCUCCACAAGCGACGUGAGUUCUCAGUAACUUGUGUCUUUGGCGGCGCAUUCUGUUCGCAUCGAAUGAUAAGUUGAACAUAUGUAUGCUGUGUGGAUUGGUGUGGGAUUUCCCUGAAGGAAAAUGAAGUCCCCCAUGUCGGUGGCUGCAUAAAUAAAACAGGUUCGCUCUUUUUGCUUGGGUGAUGCUCAAUUUUUUGAAUCUGUAUUUGGUGUAUGAAUUUUUGGUGGCAGUACGUGGGCAUGGUUUGCUUUCUGUGUACUUCUCUACGUCCUAUUAUUCUAUUGAGAUUUCUUGAAUAAUACAUUACAAUAGUUGCUACAGAAUAGCUCGAGUGAUUGAAGCAAGUGCUUCUUUUUUAAAUGUUUGCAUUUUAUGAAUUUUUGAGCUCUUUUUUAUGCCCAGAUGAUUUGAACAUUUUGUGUGUGUUGAGACAAGAGCUAUAACAGGUUUAUAACAGAAUUUAUAACAGGUUUGAAAAUUUUGAUUGUUUUUUUAUGCAGAUUUUUAAAAAGGGGUGGGGGCGGGGGGAUCUGAAUGAUAUUUUGUCAGUUGGAGUUUGUGUCUCUUCGUUCAUAUGGAUACCCAAUGGUUAUAGGUCAUGCUUAUUUGCUGUAGUAGAACUUAGCACUGUAAAUGCAAUGAGCAUGCAAUCUUUUGGUCCUGUAACGAAUGUUGUGUUUUGCAAGUUGGUUUCUAUCAUGUGUGUAAAUGGAUGCUGCUCUAUCUUUUCUGUCUUGGGAACUCACUACUGUAAAUGCAGCCAGCAUCUAAGAUUUGCCUAUGUGUACAUUUUGAACUGAUGAAUGUUGUUUAUUGCUUGCCUUUGUUUUUGAUAAUUUUGGUUCUGCAUAGAAGAGAUCAGGUUUGCAGUUGCUUUAGCUCCUAUCUAUAUUUUGGGAACUAACUACUGUAAAUGCACUUUGGAUCUAAUCUUUUGCAUGUAUUUUCAUUUUUCGAGUGAUGAAUGUUGCCUUGGAAGGAUUUUUGGAUUCUGAAUGUAUCUGCAUUGAAGAGAACCGUCAUAAAUACUGUAGUGGAAGGAAGCUUCGAGUCUGAAUCUCUCUGGACAUCUCCGUGCACAAAAGAACACAUAAUUUUUAAACAGAGGAAAUCAAGUCAAUUACAAGAGGAGAUCAAGGAUUUGUAUUACUGCUAAUCUCUCAAGGUCAUCUUGUCGGGAAUGGGUACCAUACUGUUCUAAGCAAUUCCAAAAUGAAAUUGAUGGCACCUUCAAAUUCCUCUGUUUUCAGAACCAAUAGGGGUCGAGGUUUUAGCACUUUUGGACAAAGACCUCCAGUAAUUCGUCAAGUGAUAGGCAAUGCAGACUAUGAACUUGAUAACAGGAAACUGAAGCAUUUUGAAGACUGCCUAACUCGUGGAGGUAUCCUUCAGUUCACUAGCGUAACAGGCCUCAUCAGAAUUGUUGAUCUAUUGAAUGAGAGUCCAUUUUCAAGGAGAAGUCUAAUUGAGCUGGGACCUUUGGGAUUUUCUCUACUAAGACACGGUGCUGACCUUGCAGCCGUCAACUUAAUGAGGGGACUCAAUGUAAGCUCCUUAUUCAGGAUUGACAACAUGCUUUGGUCACCUGAACACAAUGCAGUGAUGUUCAAGGAGACUGAUAUAAAUGACCAGGAACGUCCCACAUCUCCAUUUCUUGCGCUGCAUGCUAUGUUUGGCCGUGCAGUGAAGUUAUCCACAGGUAUUGACCCAAGUGACGUCGUUUUUCCGGCAUGUUUGGAUGACUAUCUUCGUUUGAUCUCUCAAGAGGAAUGGGUUGACAAGAAAUGGAUAACCAAUCACUCUGUAACAAGAACUCCUUCAGAAAGGAUACAACGCAAUUGUAGAGCCAAUCAUGUGCUCCGUAGGGAGUUUAUCAUGAUGGUGGUAACCUUAGAAGAGCUUCCGGACUAGCUGUCUUGGAGAAGUUAGGAGAACUCUUCCCAAUGGAGUUUUGCGAGCGGAAAGGUCUGCACCCCAUGAUUGACUACUGGGCACGUAAGGCCCAAGGCAUGCGAGGAGGAUUGGCAUCUGCUAGCCCAGUCAGUUGGCCUUGCUCUGAAACUGGAGGACCGCUCAAAGAACAUGAAACAAAACGUGCUCUCGGCAGGAUUCUUGUGGCUCUUUGCCGUGAUCCAUUUGAGCACCCUUUUGGUCCAUCCUAUGACCAUCAAUCAGUUGUGAACUAUGCUUACACCCUUCUGGAAGUAGAGAAGCUAAUCAAUGCCAUUUUCCCCUUAUAUGGCCUUACAUUGGAAGAGUUAUUCAUUUAUUUGGAUAUUUGGAAGGAGCUGGAGGUUGGCAAGAAGGAAAGACCACCAUACACGUACUGGACUGAUCCAGACCCCAACCCCAUAGGUAGACACUACAUCCUGAGCUUGUAUACUAACUUUGCAGUGAUUUCAUUGGUUAGUGCAUUUGUUAUGUGUUUUUAUAUGAAGAUGAAUGUAUAUUUGUUGAAUGUUUGAUGAUAUUGGUCAUUUUUUUACGAGGCCUAAAA